CGCAGGAAAAGCCACAGCCACCAGCUGCAGAUCCUCCAAAGCUAAAAAAGCAGCCUUCUGAUGUGUCAAAGCCUACAAAACCAACGGAACCUGCAGAAAAAAUAACUAAGCUUGCGACAAAAAUAGAACCUGCAGAAAAAUCCAAGCCUGCAACGAAAACAGAACCUGCAGAAACAUCUAAGCCUGCGACAAAAAUGGAACCUGCAGAAAAAUCCAAGCCUGCAACGAAAACAGAACCUACAGAAACAUCUAAGCCUGCGACAAAAAUAGAACCUGCAGAAAAAUCUAAGCCUGCAAGGAAAACAGAACCUGCAGAAACAUCUAAGCCUGCGACAAAAAUAGAACCUGCAGAAAAGUCGCCUACGACGAAAAUAGAGCCUGCAGAAACAUCUAAGCCUGCUACGACAACAGAGCCUGCCAGGCCUGAGAAGCCAGUACUAA
rnacentral:lncRNA from 1 species